CUCGGUAAUAUUUGUUCUAUAAUAAAACAAAGUGAAGAGAAGAAAAUGUAGGAUUAUAUCACCCUUUACUAAUCUCGAUGACAAGAACUUCAAGUUUAGGAGACUUGUAAAGUAUGCCUAUAAACACAUUCCACCAUAGUCUCCUGUAAGAGUAAGUUCCAAGUGAGUUAAGUUGUUGAACGUUGGUGUCUGAUUAUUAUUGUGAGCAUGACUUAGGAGCUGCAUGAAGAAAAAAAACUUAAUUGUAAUAACUAGAAAAUCAAAAGAAUGAUAUCCCAAAUCAAGAUAAAUUGACAAUUAGAAUAAAAUGUAAUCAUAAUAUUCAAAACCUUAGUGUUAGAAUCUACACAUAAUAUAUAGAUGAUUUAUUUAUAUUUACUUUGAUGAAAACUUAAUCAUAUACCUGAUCAAAAUGGCCAGCAAGAAACAAUGUUUGUAGAAGAGGAGCAUUUUUUGAAAGUUCAUCCAAUAGUUGACUCAUAACUUUUGGAUAAGUUUCAUCAAUAGAUAAAUCAAUUGUUUUCAAUUGAUUCAUCCUUGAAAUGGUUAAAUUUUGAAUUUCACCAUCAAAUUUAAAAAGUUCCAAACUUGAGAUACUAAGCUCAAUGUUUGCAACAAAAACAAGUGGAUUCACAAAAAGACGCUUCAACCUCAUAUCUGGGUUAAAAAAUCUUAAAGAUGUGAGUACUUCACAAUCAAUAAGCUCCAAGAGCUCUAGAUUCAAACAAAUAGAGAGAAUAAUCUCUAAAUCACUUGCUUCCAUAGAUACAUAAACCAAAGUAAGAGACUCUAAUAAAUUGAGUCUAUAUGCUACUUCCCGAGUAGGUUUCAAUUGGCACUCACAAAGGGACAAACAUUUUAGAUGAGAUUUCUUACUAGAGAGUAGAAUAUGGAAAGGAAAAUUGUAGGAUUCAUCAUCAAUUCUUGCAAAAUUAAGCUCAAGAUCAAGCUUCUCACAUUCCUUCCCAAUUGCACGAUUGGCCCACUUAUCAAUAUGAGAAGUAAAUUGCUUUCCAUGGGAAACCAAAUCGUAAAUGACACAGACUGAUUAAUUGUGAAUAUUUCCAAAAGUUGAUCAACUCGUUCGAUAAGUUGAUAUUUUUUUGAGUCAAUGGUAUAGACUCCAAGGAUACAUCAUCAUCUAAAUCGAUAUUGAUAAGUUUAGGAUUAAAUACGAGAUUGGACAUAUCAAUGAAAUGGUCUUUCCAUUUGUGGGACAACACUUUUGUUAUUAUGACCUCUUUCAAAUUUAAGAAUGUGAAGAUGAAACAAAUUAUGUCCUUAGGCAAUUCACUAAUACAGUCUUCAAUGUCACUACUUCUUUAAUGUGUAGUGAUGUGAAAAAAUCACAAGUAUUAAUCAACAAUACAUGAAAGUAUAUGAAGAGAAUAAGAAAGUAAUGGUAUGCAAUAACUCAAAGAAUAUGACAAAUGUGUUAGAUGAUAAAUACUUUCAAUUAGAACAUGUUUCACAAAUAAUUUAAUGUGAAAUGAGUCUAUGUUGCAUAUAGUAAUAAUUGGAAUAUAAGUUAAAAAAUCUAGAAGAUAGAUAGAAAAAACUCACAAGAAUAUCAAAUUUGUAGCUUGAACCUUGCAUCUUUUCUUGUGCUGAAUUGCAAAAUAAAAUCAUAAAAUCAGAGAGGGAAUAAGUGAGCCCUCUGAGCAAUUGGUAAUAGUAAACUAGUCUUUCAACCCAUUGAACUUUAAAACUUCUUAUUGAAAGGGUAAAUUUAGACUUUACUUGAUGAUUUCUGAUCACUAAAAGGGAAUAUUAUACCACAACAUGCUUCAAUUUAGUUCCCAAAAAUUUAUUUACAAUGAGCAAAAUCUAUAGUCAUUUAUUCAUCCAAUAUUGAUAUUAAUGGGGAAAUAAAAGUUUAGUAAUUAAUACCUAUAAUACCAAUCAUUCAAUUCUGAGUUCACUUAUAGGUGCUGAGAGCUUUUAGAGCAAAUGGAGAGAUAAAAUCGACAUAGCAAUGUAGUAAUACAAUAUAUCAAACCCCCCUUAUAUUCUACAAAAUUCUCUCCAUUUUAUUUAUUGAUUUCUUACUCAUCUACCAUGUGUGUUGGGGUGUUACAGCCAAAACUCCCAUUCUGGCCCUAAUUCUCAUCAUCUUUUCCACCAUGGGUGUCCAAUUCCCUAGUGCCGAUUAUAUCUCUAUAUGCAUUGUAGUGAUUGUAUGAGAUUGGAGAAAAUAUAGUGAGAUUUAAUUAACUUUAUUUUCAGGAAAAGUAUUCCAAAUCAGAGUAGGUCACAUAUCACUCGUACAACAAUAGCAAAUGUUCCAAUUUACAAAUGAUUACUUCCAAUAAGAUUACAUCCUAUACAAUUAGACAAUAAGCAUUAGCUUACAUCUUUACUCUAUAUUUUAUAUAUGAUUUCAGCCAAUAAAUUUUCAUCAAUGAUUUUGAUUUUAACAUCCCAAAGUAAUCAAAUAUUUAAUUGAAUUAAAAUAGAAAUCGCUAGAAAAUUAGAAAUAAUAACAAUUGCGACUCUAAACAUACAAUUUAAAGAAUGAUUUGAAUCUUUCAAUUCAAUUCCUCGAGUGCUAGAAUAUGGAAAUGUGUAAUACAGUAGUAGAAGGAAAUAGAGUAAUGAAACUUGCCUUCACGAGUGCCUCCUCUCCCGAAUACAGAAUAUCCUAUAAUCCUCAAGGAGCUUAAAUCACAGAGAAAUCCACACGAUAACAAACUAUGGACGAUCAAAUUUGAAACCCUAACACAGAAACUCGUAAGCAACUCAACUAAAGAAAUGGGGGGUUUUGAGAUAUUU
rnacentral:lncRNA from 1 species